rfam:Tetraodon nigroviridis, WGS project CAAE01000000 data, contig: CNS0BWDA, chromosome: undetermined
ACUCAAAGAGGGGGACGCUGAGCAUCAGACUUUUAAUCUGUGGAUCCAGGGUUCAAGUCCCUGUUCAAGUG